rnacentral:sRNA from 3 species
CGCAGGUCCGGGUCUCACGUAGUGAGACAACGGAGCCGCUUGCGGCGACGGCCCGAAGGGCGAGCAAAGCGAGUCAUCCUGCACGACCCACCA